AAACGCUUGAAGUCAGUCGUAUCUGCCAGGACUCAGCCUUGCUUCUGCUUGGUGCACUUUCUGGUCGGAUGGGCCAACAUCGAUUUUGACCGUUGGAAAAAGGCUUGGGGAAUGUGGCACUUUCGGGUGUGUUAUAGCCC
rnacentral:rRNA from 1 species